UCUCUUGCAUCUCAUAUUUGGUCUACUGACAAGGAAACUGAGAAUGAGACAAGAUCACAGCAGAGGUGGGGCUGUCUCAGGCUUAAGAAAGGACCUGACAGUGUUGCUGAGGCUGCUGGUCCUGGUGGUGAAGAGAGGAUAGUAAAUAAGCAGGCUGGCGGCCAAGCAAGGCGAGUACAGGACCAAGGCCGGCUCUCAGUUGCGGCGCUCCAUCCAUGCACAAACCUCUUCCUGCCCAAACUGCACACGGCUGGUGGAGAAGCUGAGUGCAGGCGCCACAGGGCAGGCAUCAGUCAUUAUACAUCGAAUCUGCCAGCCCAUACCAUCACGGUGGGGGCGCCUUUCUGGCAAUGUGAAGGCAAUGUUAAGCCUGCCUAGUAGCCUUUGGGUUAUGGGGAGGAGGCUAAGACAAAAUGCAGGCCUGGGGUAAGGGGCCCUGGGGCUUGCCCUGUGGGUGUGUUGGGGAUGGAAGGCAGAAAGAGAAAAGGCCCAGCCACAGCAGAUGGGAGAUGGGCAGCUGCCAAGAGGACGGGGCUGGGGGUGGAGGGGGCAGUGAUGCAGACCAAGAAGAGCCUUCUUCUCUUCCUGUUGUCUGACACGCCACUCUUACUUCCUCUGUGAUUGUUAUGGUGUCCUCGGGCCUGGGCCUUCAAGCAGUGUUUACACUCACAGCUCUUUGGCAAGAACCACACU
rnacentral:lncRNA from 1 species